rnacentral:rRNA from 1 species
UACGUAGGGUCCGAGCGUUGUCCGGAGUUACUGGGCGUAAAGCGCGCGCAGGCGGCCGAUCAAGUCUGGCGUGAAAGCCCCCGGCUCAACCGGGGAGGGUCGUUGGAGACUGGUUGGCUUGAGGGCGGUAGGGGCUGGUGGAAUUCCCGGUGUAGUGGUGAAAUGCGUAGAGACCGGGAGGAACACCCGUGGCGAAGGCGGCCAGCUGGGCCGACCCUGACGCUGAGGCGCGAAGGCGUGGGGAGCGAACGGG